CAUGUAGGCGGUCUGUCAAGUCAGAUGUGAAAGCCCGGGGCUCAACCCCGGAAGUGCAUUGGAAACUGGCAGACUUGAGUACGGGAGAGGAAAGUGGAAUUUCGAGUGUAGGGGUGAAAUCCGUAGAUAUUCGAAGGAACACCAGUGGCGAAGGCGGCUUUCUGGACCGAUACUGACGCUGAGAUGCGAAAGCGUGGGGAGCAAACAGGAUUAGAUACCCUGGUAGUC
rnacentral:rRNA from 1 species